rnacentral:rRNA from 1 species
GACGAACGCUGGCGGCGUGCUUAACACAUGCAAGUCGAACGGAAAGGCCCUGCUUUUGUGGGGUGCUCGAGUGGCGAACGGGUGAGUAACACGUGAGUAACCUGCCCUUGACUUUGGGAUAACUUCAGGAAACUGGGGCUAAUACCGGAUAGGAGCUCCUGCUGCAUGGUGGGGGUUGGAAAGUUUCGGCGGUUGGGGAUGGACUCGCGGCUUAUCAGCUUGUUGGUGGGGUAGUGGCUUACCAAGGCUUUGACGGGUAGCCGGCCUGAGAGGGUGACCGGCCACAUUGGGACUGAGAUACGGCCCAGACUCCUACGGGAGGCAGCAGUGGGGAAUAUAGCACAAUGGGCGGAAGCCUGAUGCAGCAACGCCGCGUGCGGGAUGACGGCCUUCGGGUUGUAAACCGCUUUCGCCUGUGACGAAGCGUGAGGGACGGUAAUGGGUAAAGAAGCACCGGCGAACUACGU